rnacentral:rRNA from 1 species
GACAGAGGGUGCAAACGUUGUUCGGAUUUACUGGGCGUAAAGCGCGUGUAGGCGGCUUUGCAAGUCGGAUGUGAAAGCCCACGGCUCAACCGUGGAAGUGCAUCCGAAACUGCAUGGCUCGAGUCUCGGAGAGGAAGGUGGAAUGCUUGGUGUAGAGGUGAAAUUCGUAGAUAUCAAGCAGAACACCUGCGGCGAAGGCGGCCUCUGGACGAUGACUGACGCUGAGACGCGAAAGCGUGGGGAGCAAACAGG